CCUACGGGUGGCAGCAGUCGAGAAUCAUUCACAAUGGGGGAAAUCCUGAUGGUGCGACGCCGCGUGGAGGACUGCAGGUCUUCGGAUUGUAAACCCCUGUCAUGUGGGAGCAAAUUACAAAGAUAGUACCACAAGAGGAAGAGACGGCUAACUCUGUGCCAGCAGCCGCGGUAAUACAGAGGUCUCAAGCGUUGUUCGGAAUCACUGGGCGUAAAGCGUGCGUAGGCUGUUUUGUAAGUCGUGUGUGAAAGGUGCGGGCUCAACCCGCGGACGGCACAUGAUACUGCGAGACUAGAGUAAUGGAGGGGGAACCGGAAUGCGCGGUGUAGCAGUGAAAUGCGUAGAUA
rnacentral:rRNA from 1 species